rnacentral:rRNA from 1 species
UACGAAGGGGGCUAGCGUUGCUCGGAAUUACUGGGCGUAAAGCGCACGUAGGCGGCUUUCUAAGUCGGGGGUGAAAUCCUGGAGCUCAACUCCAGAACUGCCUUUGAUACUGGAGAGCUUGAGUCCGGAAGAGGUGAGUGGAACUCCGAGUGUAGAGGUGAAAUUCGUAGAUAUUCGGAAGAACACCAGUGGCGAAGGCGGCUCACUGGUCCGGUACUGACGCUGAGGUGCGAAAGCGUGGG